CACAGAAAGGUAUGACCUCUGAAAGCUGGCCUCUGGUGACCUAGGUCUCUCCACUAGUCUCCGUGUCACUAGGGUUCCACAAUCUCCAGAAACAUCACCGCCAGCUGGGAAGGCUGAGUGCUCGGAUACAGGGACCUGUGGAAGAUACUUCUGAGUGGAACCAUACCACCUGGGGAGAAGAACUGUGAGCAUCUGAUGGCUGACUCCGUGGAGACGAGGAGGGAUGGCAACAAGGAGGAGGCAGACCUCAGUUUCUGAGGCGGGGAGCACAAGUUUCUCUGAGGAUCCGUGGAGUAAAACAAGUUAAAAAUACGAA
ensembl:lincRNA Gm28888 predicted gene 28888